GAAUGUGGAAAAACUGUAAUUUGUCUGCCAAGUGGAGGAAUCAGAAAUCAGCACCUCUUUUUUGUUCGCUUUUAGGGACAAUUGAUUUUGCUAAUAUGAUUCAUUAAUGCCAAAUUGAACACUUGUUCUUUCAUCUCUCUCAUUCCAAAUGUCAAAGCGCCUCAUCCAUUUCUUACAUCAGGCCUAUCAAUUUAAUUGGGAGAGUGUACAAGUCAUAUCAAAGGUGUCAGUCAACAGGUGGCAGAGGCAGAGAGCUGAAUGGGACAAAUGAAAGAAAGAAACAUAAAAUCAGCAUGAUAAUGUUCAGCAGUUGAUCUCUAUUUAAAUAACAGUAAAACAUUCAUUGAGAUGACAUGAACGAACAAGAUGUUUUUUUUCCUGCAUUGAAAGUGAAACAUCAAACUCGGCAUGCUGCAAGCUACAGCUGCUGGGACAGCCAAAGCAUUAAUAAGAAGAAGAUGUGAAAUUGAAAUGGCAUUCACUUAGCAGCGCUGGCAUAAACAGUACUUACUCCAUUGAAUUUGUUGUGUUUUUUCUUUGAUAUCGGUAAGUAAGAUCUGUCUCCAUUCCAGAUAGCCUGUUUUAAGCUUAUAAUCUUGACUUACUUUGAUAAUUUGUGUAUAUAUAUCAUGUUUUUAUCAUUUUAAAUACAUAUAAAAUAUAAAAAAUUAUUGUAUCAAUUUCAUAUUAAUAUAUCAAACAUAAAAUAUAUAUUUUUAUUUUUAAAUAAUAUCAUUUUUAUAUUUUAUUUUAUAUCAAUUUUAUAUUAUACAAUCAUAUCAUAUUUAAAAUUAUCAAAUAAAGUGAUACUAUAAAUAGAGUGACCUUGGUCAAAGUUGACAACCUAAUCCAUCACUAACAGGUUUCGAUCCCACCUUAUAAGAUCAUUUUUUUUUAAAUCAAGUUUUAAGUUAGAUAAUGUGAAAAAAAAUUUAAAUUCAAAAUUAAUUAAUUAUUUAUAUAUAUUUAUAUAAUUAUAUUUAUAUUUAAAAAAUAAUAUUUUAUUAAUUUCGAAUUAAAUCGAAUUAGAUUCAAAUAUAAAAAAUAAAAAAAAAUUUAAAUUAAAUUAAAUUAAAUUUUUUUAAUUAUAAAAUCAGAUUGAAUUCGAAAUGAAAAAAAUUUGUUCCGAUCAAAUCCGAUGUCAACAUGGCCAUGGCAAAGCUUUUCAGCUUGAACGGUCACUUUGGUACAAUUUCUUUCUUUCAUGCCAUCCCUGCUAGUGGGAUAUUAGUGGAACAUCCCUGUUGCAUAUAUAGAUUAUUAUUAUAUUGAUAUUUUCAACCUUUCAUCUCUCGGGAAUACCAAGUCUCAAUCCUUUCGUCUCCUUUGCAACCUAGCCACAGCACAGUACCCAAACAAAAAAACUAGUCAAAUGGAUUUUCCAGUGGAAACGAGAGAAUUAGAAGUCAAAGUUAAGAAGGCAGAAGGUGGCCAAUAAGACUAUUCCAAGGAUGGUCGGCUACUCAGCUACGCUCUCCAUUGUUGUUUGUUACUUGCUUGAAAACCAUAAAAGACCAAAGACUUUGGACAGCUUAUUUUAAAGUUUGAAAAUAAAAAAAAAUAUUGAAAUGAAAUCUAACCCAUUUGAUAGUUAGUUAUGACUUAUGGGUUUAUAGUAUUGCAAAUGUUUCCUUUAGUAAUUUUCUCUCCCAUCUUUUAAACAUGCCUUGCCAUUACUUAUUCAACCAAAUUUAAGGUUUAAACUUUAUUUAAAUGAAUGAUGAAAAAUUUAUUCAACCAAAUUUAAGGUUUAAAUUUUAUUUAAAUGAAUGAUGAAAAAAAUUUUCCACGGCACCUUCAGAAAAAUGAUAACAUGAUGAGAAUCUUUUUUCACCUAAUAUCAACUAUCCAAAUUGAACAUUAAUUAAUCUCUAUUAUAAGCUUAAUGAAAUUGUUUUGGAUAAAUUUUGGAUAAAUAUGCAACACAUUUUGGCUUAUCGAUUAAACAAAAUUUGAGAAUAGCUUUUGCAAAAUUUUCAACUUAAUCAACGAAUUAUAUAGAAUUAUGCUUAAAUAAUUCUACAAUUUAAUUAACAAACUUUAAUAAACUUCCAAUCCAUACAAUACACCGGCAUGCUUUUCCGGUUUAUCGUUCACAAAAUACACGUCCCUCAUUUUCUGAAACGCGUGCCACGUCAACAAGGAAUCGGAACCGGCUUGGUGACAUUUCCCAACCGCCCGGUUCACAUCCAGGGUCCGAGCUACCCGGUCCAACCCACCGUACAAGCUAUUGCAGAAUCUCAUCAUGUGCUUCAUAUCAUAAACCUUGUUUCCGAAAAACACCCUGAGAAUCUUCAAAAACUCAUCUAAUCCCCCGGGCAAGUCCCGGCGCGUCAGGAUCUUAACCAGGUACCCGAAAUCAUACGCGCUGUGAAAGGUCACCCAACUCACUGCGUCGUUACACAGGAGUCCGGACGACAUCAUCAACUCAGCGAACCGUACCGAUUCAAUCCCCAUUUCCUUGUUCUUCUCAAAAUCAAUCCCUUGCUUCCUCAAAAGCUCAAUGGAAUCAGGGGCGUGAGCAUCACGCUCCACAUCGAAGUCGCGGAAAUUGAAUUCCCAGAUGAACUGAGUGUCGCCGGUUCCAAGGUCAGGCAGAUUACCUGAAGAAUCGGAGAGGGUGAGGCCCACUUGGAUCAAGUUCAAAACAUCAACGUUGGAUUUGAGAAUCCUAUAGUGAUCGGACGGUCGAAGUUGGGCAUUGUAAGGCCUAGUCGGGUCAACUUUAGGUCUGAAAACAAGACCCGGAAACUCGGUGUCCAUAGAAAUGAAAGGGUACUCAUCAAUUACCUGACUGAUCAACUCGAACUCUGAUUCUAAAUUAUCCGACCAAACUUCCCUUAUCUUUACAGGUUUUGAACUCCUGCCUGAAUCUUCAAACUCCAUAUCAGAAAAUCACAGAAAAAAGAAAGAAGAACACUUGAUCUCACUUUUUCUUCUUCCUUCGAAUUUGUUUUUGUUUUGGUGUAGAGCAAAAAGAGAGUGAGGGGUGGGUUAUAUAUUAGGUGGGAAAUCGAUGGAGGCUUUCGAAGCUGUUGCUUGGAAUGUGGUCAAAGUGAAAGAGAGAGAGAGAGAGAGAGUUGCCAAAAGAGGUUGAACGCGUCGGGUCAUUUUUGACUGGGAGUGGGGGGAGAAACAGCGUACAUAGACAUGGUCCUAAUCCUAUUGAGGAGCCAUGUUUUCAAUAAUGUUUAUUGCAGUUUUGUUUUCUUUUGUUUAAUGGCAAAAAAUAAUUGGCUGGUUCGGACGGCUUUUGCUUUUCUCUUGUCUGAGGUCAGUAACACCUCUUCAGCAUCCAAUUAUGAGACCAUUUUCAAUGCACCAGACCCAUUGAAACUAGCCAUUUCGUGUCAUUUGGGUGUGAGCUGAGUGUAAAUGUAACGGAUACGUUUAAACUUAAAAAAAAUAUAUCUAUGUUCUGUUUUAGAAGGCUUUCAGAAAAUACCUGUAAUCUCAUGGACAGCUCCUUGUCAUCUCAUCUUUUGGUUAUAUAUAAUUAGACUUUUAAGUUUUUAUUUUAAUUAUAAAGAUUAAAUUAUUGUCUAUAUAUCUACUUAAAAAUCAAUUAAUUUAUUAAUUUUAUAGAUAUAAUAUAAUAAACCAAAGAUCAAUAUUUAAUUUUAUACUCGUGAAGCUAAAAUCUCUACACAUUACCAUAACCAAAAAUCUAAAUUAAAGAAAAUUUAGUUUGGUAGCAUUUUGCUUCAAAACUUCAAGGUAAUUGUCUUGCUCCCUUUUUUAAAUUGCUUCAAAUAGUAAGACAAAGUGCUUACUAUUUAAGAUCUUUCAAACAUUAUUUCAGAUAAAGUUAUAAUCAUAAUUGGCGAAUCAGUAUAUAAUUAAAUAAAAUUCACUUAUGAGGAAAUUUGAAUUUAAGAUUUUAAAAUUUUAAAAAUUUUUUAUCAUUAAAUCAAAAUUUCAUUAAAAAGUAAUAAAAUGGGUGUGAGUCAAUUGAUGCUAACAACAUCGACUUUGUGUUGCAUUUUGUUUUGGCAUAGAAAUUUGACUGGAAAUAGAAAAUAAAUCAGUAUUCUUGGAUUGGAAAGUAUGAAAAUACAAUCUCAAGUUUAGAAGCUUUUGCAUUUGUGGUAUCCUUUUAAACUUUAAAACCUUGCCAAUGUUAUUUACCAUUUGAAAUUGGAAAUAAAGAAUAGAUUCAACUGUUGUAUUCUGAUUUAUACAAAAAUUUAAAUUUGAUAAUUUGUAUCAUAGUAUUAUAAAAAAUAUUAUAUUUGUAUAUUAUUUUAUACGAAAAUUACGUGUCAUAAUUUGUAUUGACAUAAAAUAUAAAAUAUAAUUUUUUAUUUUAUUAAAGUUAUUUAUAAUGUUUUAAAAAUUUUAAACUGUAUUAUUUUCGUAUAAUUUAUUCAUUUUCAUAUUAUAUUAUCGUGUCAUGUUUUAAAUUAUCAAAUUUACAAAAAUUAAUACAUAAAUAAUUUCUAAGAAUAAAAUUUUUAAAAAAAAUCCAUAUGUGGAUGGAAGUUGGACCUUAAGAAAAAAAAUAAAGAAAGGAAUAAUGCACAUUCGAUUGGCUGGCCAGAAUCCAAUAUUUAUCAAAUUGAUUCCAUGCACAUGGAAAAUUCGAUUUCAUCUCUGGGAGUUGUAACUGGAAAACGAAUAAUUGCUUAUAAUAAUAUAAUUAAUAUAAUAAUUUAUUCUUUGGAAAAUUUUUGAAUUUUUGAAUUGAAUAUUCAUAUAUUUACACGUGCAUAACAAGCUUGGCAAACAUUUAAAGCCCAAUGACCUUAAGAAUUGUCAAUUUUAAGGGUCAAAAAAAAAAAAAAAGAAUCGUUGACAAAAAUUUUUUAUAAUGCGAUACUGAUAUUUUUUAAGUUUUGUUCGAAAUUAAUUUUUUAAAAAAUUUAAAAAUUAUAUAUUUUUAUAUUGGUUUGAUGUAUUUAAAAUUUUAAUUUAAAAAUACUCUUCAUAAAAAAAAAAAAAAAAAAAAAAAAAAAAAAACUUACUUGACCUCUGUGAGUAUGGUUAAAUGUGUGAAAUCAACAAGAAUAGAGUAAAUGUAUAAUAAUAAUAAUAAUUCGUUUUAGCAGUCUUGAAUAAAAUAACGUAGGCGUGACGACUUGACUGCAGGCACGUGGAAACCGAGCUAAUAUAAUUGAUUAAUAUUAUUCCAAUCGCUUUUAGUUUCAGAAGCAUGAAGCAAGCUGUUAAUGUACGACAAAUGCUUAUGGUAAUAAAAUAAUUUAUUUUGUCGUGAUUUGUGAUCAUCAAAAUUCAGGAAAAAGCUUGGAAGCUCAGGUUUGCGUGUUAAUCUCACAUCUCACUCUUCUAAUAACUUGAUUCAUUCUCUAUAGGGUUUCUUGGGCUUGUUCUCCUAGUUGACUUCGAAACUUCUAAAUCUUUACCAUAUAAAAAAUGGAGAUGACUCCAUUGUGUAAGCAGCAGUUCUGGGGGAGUGGCCAAAUUUUCUCUGAUUCUUUUCUUUCCUGCAGAUAAAAUAGAUGUAAGCUGUCCAAGCAAGUCUGAGAAUUCUAAGACUUGCCUUUGGGAGAACUAGUUGCCCAUUGAAGAUAACCAGAACGUGCAGGGGGG
rnacentral:lncRNA from 1 species